UCAGGAUCAGCAAUUUAAAUUCUCUUUAUGUGCAUUUCCUUCUAGAGUUCACAGAUCUGAGGCUGGUGAGCAGCAGUGACUGUGCUGGGCGGCUGGAGGUUUUCUACAAUGGGACGUGGGGCAGUAUUUGCUCCAAUCAGAUGACUGGCGUCACCCCGACAAUUGAAUGCAAACAGCUGAACUGUGGAGAUGGAGUGCUAACUGCAGGAGAAUUUCAACGUGGGGAAGGUUCUGGUCCCACAUGGCUGGAUCAUGUUAAGUGCACUGAGCAGCACAGUUCCCUUUGGCAGUGUCCCUCAGGCCCAUGGAAAUGGCAGUCAUGUGAUUACCGAUCAGAAGAGACCCAUAUUAUUUGCAAUGGUUCUUCAAAUGGUGUGAUGAAGACAACAGCUUCACUGAUUAGAAGAGAAGCUCCUGCACUGCCUGGAGAUGUCACACAGGAGGAUUAUGAUGAUGUCAAAGAAGUUUCUGACCCCAAUGAUGACCACGGCCCUGGGCAGUGUGCCCGGGAAGUCACUGGAGCUCCAGGAGAGAGUGACAGGAACAGGGAUUCACAGACAGAUUGGAGUCUGCACUUGCUAAGAAGUGAAGAGGUCUCUGAAGCUGAGAGAAAUGCCCUGUCCCUGCUUCCUGGAGACCCAGGUUAUGAUGAUGUUGAAGAUGGGGUCUCUGGGACAUCACUAUAAGAAUGCUGAGUUCAGAUCAAAUGUCCUGUGAGGACAUAAAUGUUGUAUGAUUGGGCUAUUCUUCUCUCAAAUGCUUUCUGGGCCAUCGGGGCAUCAGAAACAAUCCCUACCUGGGAACUAGUUCAUACAGCUUUUAUAUUGGAGUUUUGUCCGCUGGCAAGAAAUAUGUGUGACUGAGACAGGGUCUGUGGUUUCCCCUGUAAUUCCCCAUUGAUCAGACUGUCUGGAACUGUCUUGCUUUUUUAUUCCUGCUGUUUUAUUUCUAACAUUUCUUCCCUGUGAAUUUUUAUUUUUUCUUAGUAAACAAUUUUUGAAAGACUGUUCCAGGGCUGAUGCUUCUCUGACGAGGUGUAUUGGGCAGCUCCCUGAGACCAUUGGGGGAAAGAUUGAGACUGAACCACCAAAAAAUUAUAAUGGUAAAAUGUCACCCCUCGGGUAUUGCAGGCUUUUGGACAGGGUGUUGCAUUGAGAAUGAACAUUCUGCCAGGUGUGUGGUAAUGGCGAGACACCUAGCAACAGAAUAUUCCUCACUCCAGAGAUAGCCCUAACCCCCAAUCCAGACUUUCCUUUGAAAUUCAGGAAGAUAAAUAGGAUGCUAUUUACAGGUAUCUUAAUGCCCAUACACACACAAUUAGAUAGCAGUGAAAAUAUGCCCCUAUCCUUUCCUCUUCUCUUCUAUACAAAUUCAUGUGCCAUGCCCAUCAUUCUGGCAUCAGAGCACCUUCCAAUGAUUUACUUUCAGUGUACGUUGUCCAUUCUUUAUUCCUCCCCUGGGACAAAAACACAUGGAUUUUUUAUGGAGGGUCAUGGAUGGUUAUUGGUGAGUUUAUUUUAUGAUGUGAUAUGGGCUUACAUUAGCAAAAGCAGACCGAGGAACCCCACAAGUGGAUCGGAAAGAAGUUUCAGGUGAUUUUUUAGUUCUUGUGGGAUUUUGUUCUAGAGUCUUUGAUCAGCCCCAAAGAAAACUGUCUCCUGCACAAAUGAGCUUUCCCCUUGCAGG
ensembl:lncRNA